CCGCGUCUUGCCUCGCGAACUCGGUGAAAGGAAUUGGCGCCGUUCGACACCAGGCGGGUCCGUUCUGCAGCAGCACUCAGCUAUCUCCAGCCGCAGCCGCCGCCCGGGCCGACCAGCAGCCGCCGCCACAGGCCGAGGGAGUCAGCAGCCAGCGGUGAACCGGGGCCCUCACCAUGAGUUCUUCGCCUGUUAAUGUCAAGAAGCUGAAGGUGUCGGAGCUGAAGGAGGAGCUCAAGAAGCGGCGCCUCUCCGACAAGGGCCUCAAGGCCGAUCUCAUGGAUCGACUCCAGGCCGCGCUAGACAACGAGGCAGGAGGCCGCCCCGCCAUGGAGCCCGGGAACGGCAGCCUCGACCUGGGUGGCGAUGCGGCCGGGCGCUCCGGAGCAGGCCUAGAGCAGGAGGCCGUGGCCGGCGCCGAAGACGACGAGGAGGAGGAGGGCAUCGCCGCUCUGGAUGGCGACCAGAUGGAGCUGGGCGAGGAGAACGGGGCGGCGGGGGCGGCUGACGCGGGCGCGAUGGAGGAGGAGGAGGCGGCGUCGGAAGACGAGAACGGCGACGACCAGGGCUUCCAGGAGGGGGAGGACGAGCUCGGCGACGAGGAGGGCGCGGGCGACGAGAACGGUCACGGGGAGCAGCAGUCCCAACCGCCGGCGGCGGCACAGCAGCCUCCUCAGCAGCGUGGGGCUGGCAAGGAGGCCACGGGGAAGAGCAGCGGCCCCACCUCGCUCUUCGCGGUGACGGUGGCGCCGCCAGGGGCGAGGCAGGGCCAACAGCAGGCGGGAGGAGACGGCAAAACAGAACAGAAAGGCGGAGAUAAAAAGAGAGGCGUUAAAAGACCGAGAGAAGAUCAUGGCCGAGGAUAUUUUGAGUAUAUUGAAGAAAACAAGUACAGCAGAGCCAAGUCUCCUCAGCCACCUGUUGAAGAAGAAGAUGAACACUUCGAUGACACAGUGGUUUGUCUUGAUACUUAUAAUUGUGAUCUGCAUUUUAAAAUAUCGAGAGACCGUCUCAGCGCUUCUUCCCUUACUAUGGAGAGUUUUGCUUUUCUGUGGGCUGGAGGAAGAGCUUCUUACGGUGUGUCAAAAGGCAAAGUCUGUUUUGAGAUGAAGGUAACAGAGAAGAUUCCAGUAAGGCAUUUAUAUACAAAGGAUAUUGAUAUACAUGAAGUUCGGAUUGGCUGGUCACUAACUACAAGUGGAAUGUUACUUGGUGAAGAAGAAUUUUCUUAUGGGUAUUCUCUGAAAGGAAUAAAAACAUGCAACUGUGAGACAGAAGAUUAUGGAGAGAAGUUUGAUGAAAAUGAUGUGAUUACAUGCUUUGCUAACUUUGAAACUGAUGAAGUUGAGCUCUCUUACUCGAAGAAUGGACAAGAUCUUGGUGUUGCCUUUAAGAUCAGUAAGGAAGUUCUUGCUGACCGGCCACUAUUCCCGCAUGUUCUCUGCCAUAACUGUGCGGUUGAGUUUAAUUUUGGUCAAAAGGAAAAGCCAUACUUUCCAAUACCUGAAGACUGUACUUUUAUCCAAAAUGUCCCCUUAGAGGACCGAGUCAGAGGACCAAAAGGACCUGAAGAGAAGAAGGAUUGUGAAGUUGUAAUGAUGAUUGGCUUGCCAGGAGCUGGAAAAACUACCUGGGUUACUAAACAUGCAGCUGAAAACCCUGGGAAAUACAACAUUCUCGGAACAAAUACCAUUAUGGACAAAAUGAUGGUGGCAGGUUUUAAGAAGCAAAUGGCAGAUACUGGAAAACUGAACACACUGUUGCAGAGAGCCCCACAGUGUCUUGGCAAGUUUAUUGAGAUUGCUGCUCGAAAGAAACGGAAUUUUAUUCUGGAUCAGACAAAUGUGUCUGCUGCUGCCCAGAGGAGAAAAAUGUGCCUGUUUGCAGGCUUCCAGCGGAAAGCUGUUGUAGUUUGCCCAAAAGAUGAAGACUAUAAACAGAGGACACAGAAGAAAGCAGAAGUAGAGGGAAAAGACCUACCAGAACAUGCUGUCCUCAAGAUGAAAGGAAAUUUCACCCUUCCAGAGGUUGCAGAAUGCUUUGAUGAAAUAACCUAUGUUGAACUUCAGAAGGAGGAAGCCCAAAAGCUUUUGGAGCAAUAUAAAGAAGAAAGCAAAAAGGCACUGCCACCGGAAAAGAAGCAAAACACUGGCUCAAAGAAAAGCAAUAAAAAUAAGAGUGGCAAGAACCAGUUCAACAGAGGUGGUGGCCAUAGAGGACGUGGAGGAUUCAAUAUGCGAGGUGGCAAUUUCAGAGGAGGAGCUCCUGGGAAUCGUGGUGGAUAUAAUAGGAGAGGCAACAUGCCGCAGAGAGGUGGUGGUGGUGGAAGUGGUGGAAUUGGCUAUCCAUACCCGCGUGGCCCUGUUUUUCCUGGCCGAGGUGGUUACUCAAACAGAGGAAAUUACAACAGAGGUGGAAUGCCUAACAGAGGGAACUAUAACCAGAACUUCAGAGGACGAGGAAAUAAUCGUGGCUACAAAAAUCAAUCUCAGGGCUACAACCAGUGGCAGCAGGGUUCUGUCCAUGUGAAUGUGCUGUGUGAAGAGUAAAGGGGGCCCAACUAAAUGUGUUCCAGUGAUUCUAAUAGGUAUUCAAAUUAAUUGCUGCUUGUCUGUUUACCAAUUAUGUUAGGUUUCCAGGACCAUCUUAUAUUGGCAACCAGAUGGACAGGAGAUACGUCCUCUGAAGGAUUUUCUAACUUAUCCUUCAUAUCAGAAGUGAAGUGUAAAGACUUUAACCAAGUCUAAGCUUUAAAGACAUUUACCCUUAGAGGCCUAUUUAUUGCAAAACAGUGACCUUUAGGGUACUUUCCUGCCCUUGUUUACCAAGUUGGUUUUUUUUUUCCUGUCUUGACCAGGCUGUGUGGUCUUUUCUGAGUAGUGAAGUGAAUACAUUUUUAGAAGUCUAAAAAUUAGAUUAAGAAACUCGGAUACUGAAGUUAUGGGAAACUUGGUGUGAGCUUUGGUUAUGCCACAUAAGCUAGAUUAAUGUCUAAGUGGCAACAGUUAUUUGGGUUUGUGCAGUAAAAAUAGUUGUACCCUCAAAAGGCAACCUAAUGGCUUUCAAUGAGUAGGCAGCCAAAGGUUCAUAAGCAUUGUUCAUUGAGAAAAACAAAGUUGUAGAAAACCUCUAUUAAAUGUGCUUUUAAGUUUCAGUGGCAAAGCAUGUCUUGUUUUCAUGAAGCGUUUGCUAGGGAACAUCUUUACAUGCAGAUUAUUCCUCUUAAGGGUGUGCCAGAAAGAGGUAGUUUAGAGACAGCUUUGUUACAUUUAGAAAUGUUUUAACAUUAAUCUUAGUUAUUGUCUUAAUUAGAAAAACUGGAAGGGUAGAGUAAAAUAUGUUAAAGUCUGGCCUAAGUGAAUAUGCAACUUUUUUUUUUCUUUUUUUUGCCUAGUAGUGCUUGUACUAUGAACUUUUAAACUAUAGUACAUUGAAAAAAUACCCUAAUUUCUCCUUGUUACAACAGCUUUGCUCUCAGUUUAAAAUACUAAGUUGAACUUUACAUGACAUGUAUACAGUACCAGUAUUUGGGUGGUAGUGGAUUUUGGCUAUUCUAUUGAGCUGAUAUAAUUGCUAGAACAUUAACCUGCUUCAAAAUUGAUUCUAAAGGACUGUUACAAGUCAGAAUUAUAGAAAUUGCUUAAUUUUCCUAUUUACUAGGGUCCGCCCGCGUACCCAGAGACUAGUAUAUAUUUAACAUGACUUUUAAAGGGGUGCGUUGACACCUGUCUAGAUUUUUAUCUAGGAAUAAUAGAAGGAUUCAAACCCUAUUUGAUCCUUAGCUCUUUGCUGAAAAGUGCAUAAACAGGAGUCCUGAAUUUAUUAUAUAGACCUCCGCAUUAUAUAAUCGAAGCAAAGGGAAACCACCGAUGGAGUUAGAGGUACGUAGACUAAAAAGAUGCUUGCAAAUCAAAUACUGGUUUUAGCAUAGUUGAGAUUUAUUGUUGCCACUCAGUCAAUAAGUCACAAGUCCAGAAAAAAAGCUCUUCCUAUUAAAUCUCCCUGUGGUCCUUAUACUAAGAUGGAAAACCAAGGAAUCAAAGAGGGAGGGGUUGAGGAAAGGGGGGGAGGAAUUACAGCCUAGGAAUGGUAGAUAAGCUACCCCAAAACUUCAAAACUACUAACACUGCCAUUCUAUUUUAAUCAGCUUUUUGGCUGGUACCUACUGCUAUAUCACCUAGUAUGACAUUUCGGGAUUAUCAGGACAAUGAAGGAAGCAGUGCACACGGAGGGCAUAGAAGUUGUGCUGCUGUGAAAAUGAACUUGGUAAGUAGCGAAGAUGUUAUCAGCCAAGAGAGGUCUCUGGGUAAGAUAUAAUUGCAACAUAAAGCUGGAGGGAAUUCAAAUCUCUGGUUUUUCAUAGUGAUAAGGCUAAGAGCAUAAGUACACUGUCCACCACUUGUUAGGAUAUUAGAUUGACCUUAACCAUCAUCAACCUACUACAAACUCAACUUUCAUCAUUGAUUAAAUAUUGGGGCUGCUACUAGUGAUGAAAAUCUUUGUGUCCAUUUCUGCAUCCUGGCCUUCAUGGUGAUCAAAAGGAAAGCAGUCUUUCUGUUGAAGGAUAGGUGAACAACAAAAUAAUCUCUUCCUUUUGGCUUUUCUUGACACAAAGGGCCAGUAAUGGAUAUAUAUCCUUGCUCAGGUGUAAUUUCUCCUUCAGUCUGAUGGUGCUUGACAAUUAACCUUAGGAAGGUUUUUACACACCAUGUUUUCUGGCAUGACAGUUCCAACAAACAUACUGUACUAACAGUAAAGAACAAAAGGGUUUCAUGUAAGUAACACAAUAAAUACAGUUCACACUUUGAGUUUUAAUUUAUGGUUGAUUCACAAGGAGCAGUUGUGUUUGGGUUAAAGUUGAAGUUGUUCAGCUGCUGUUACUGCUCUUCAUUUUUCUUUCAGGAUCAAGGUGGGUGCUUUCAUAUAAAAUCUUAUUUUUUAUUCCUUCUCUGGCAAUUCUUUCCUGGAUCCUCUGCUUAGCAAAAUUAUACCUACAGUGGAACCUUGUAAAAAAAAGAAAGAAAAAAAUAAGCUACUAUUCUAUAUGAACAACCUAAGGAAUUUUAAUUUAUAGAUUUCCAAAAUGCUUAUAAAGAGGACUAUCCCAAAACUAAAUUUAAAGGUGGUCGGUCUGUCAGAAUAACUAAAGUACCUGUUGUAGAACAGUCAUAUCAUAGGAAUCUCUGGGUCUUUAUUUACUCAAAACUUAACUUUUUAAUGGAAUUCUGCCAUUUAUCAAUGGAUAAUAAUGGAGGUUUAUAUACUGCCAUAUUCAGGGCAGAUUUGCAGCAAACAAAACUAGCAGCUCAUACCUUUAAUCCUAGCACUAGUCCACAGAGACCCUGUCUCAAGUGCAUGUACACACAUAAACACAUCCACAUUUAUUGAGUUAUUGUUGUUACUCAUCCUGACUACUGGAAUAUCCAGCAAACGUACCAGCAUCCUAAAGUCACCAGGAUAAAUCCUCCUACUCCAACAUCACACGAUCUUCUAAUUCUACCUAUUGGAAAGAAGCAUGGUCAGCAUAUAUCACAAAUUAUAAUAAACAUGUCUUGAUUUAAAAAAAUACUCACUGGUCACCAAGAAAUGUCCAAGUCCAGUCACAAUAGAUCCUAAUGAGCCAUAGAGUAUAGAUUCCCGAGCGCAUGGAGUGUUCUCAACAUCUAAAAUACCUAGGAGCUUGAAGGGCUAGGAUAAAAUGAAAAAGAACCUAGCCUGAAAAAUUAAAUAGUUGAAGAUUACAACAUGGAUUCCCAAUCAAUUUUGAAUUACCAGUCAGCCAACUUAAAAUGUGUGUUCUAAUCCGCCCCUUUGGGAUUUAUAUAAUUUAACCUUUAGCAUGAAGUGACCAGUCUUCCAAGGACAUGUCACUGAGCACUGGUGGUCAAAACAGACUUUUUCACAUCCUGUUCAUGUCUUUGACAUCUGGUGGUUUGUGACUGUAAUGCAAUCCCAGCAAUCAGGAAACCACAGCAAGAAGAUUGCUGUGAAUUGGAGGUCAGUCUUUGAGAAGCAAGACUACACACAACUUUGUAACUUAAGCAUGUAUGAAAAGAAGCCAUCCUCUAUUGGAUCCCAGCCUUGGAAAACAAUGUGAAUGUUUUCUACAGUGCAGCUAGAGGAUGAUUGCAUAAGAGAUGGAACCUACAUGGUGGGGAAUGGCAUAAAAGGCAUGUCAGAUAGGUAGAACUGCACUUCAAGGAUCUGCUUGAAAACAUGUAACUUGGUUCUCAUUAAAGUUGUUUUUUCCCAGA